rnacentral:misc_RNA from 1 species
UCUCCGUUGGUGAACCAGCGGAGGGAUCAUUAAAGAGUUGUAAAACUCCCAAACCCAUGUGAACUUACCUUUGUUGCCUCGGUGGGCUACCCGGUAGCUACCCUGUAGUUACCCUGUAGCUUGCCGACGGUAUUCUAAACUCUUGUUUAAUAGUAUCAUCUCUGAGUAAACUUUUAAAUAAGUCAAAACUUUUAACAACGGAUCUCUUGGUUCUGGCAUCGAUGAAGAACGCAGC